GUCAGGCCACGUAUCAUUAUGUCCCCAUGUCUCCUUAUUUGCUUCUCCUCUAAUUUUGUUCAUGGCAAUACUCCCCUCUCUCCAAUCCAUCCUCUUCUCCGGGUGGUUCACCGACGAGGCCACCGGAGGCAGCCUAAAUACGCGCACGAGGUGGCCCAGGUCCGUGGCUGCUCCUCCCACCAGCUUCACUGACUCGCCGCCGGCGUUUCAUCUAGGGUGAGCUGAAGAGAGGCGGCGCCAUACACGCUAAGCCGGUGCUCGCGCGAGGUGCAGGAGGAGGAGGGCAUCCCGGAGCUCGAGGAGGAGGACGAUGCGGUCGUCGUCAAGGAGGUGUCCAGGAAGCGCCCCGUGCCUGCCGCCCGCAGCCACCGCAUCUAGCAGGCGCCGGCGCAGCCUCUCGUGCCGCCGGCGCACUGGAAGUCUUGUGAGAGCACGGACGUUGUCGGCGAGAUCAAGGCGUAGUUCGUUCGCUCGAGCAGCCGAUGCAGUUUGGGCGCUCACGCCAAUCCUGGAGAUCGAGACACCAGUGCCAUCGCCGGACCUCAGUGUACCAUGAGCCGAUGCAAGCUGCCCUUGCCGAGCUCUUUCGUCUCCGACAGCCGUGGCAGGUGUCAGGUCCCGCUCUGGUGUCACAUCCAUCUCCAAGGGGCUCCGGCUCUACGGUGAGAAAUCCUCACAUGGACGACGUCUCGCUAAUUUCUCCAUGGUCUCCACGCAUCGGCUCUUCGCGGCGGCGUCCGCUGCAGCAAGCCCACCGACCCAGUCCUGGAGCUCGACGACGCCGACGUCAUAUUGAGUAGAGGAGGCGUGGUGGCAUCCUCGCUGGUCGACGUGUACGGGCGCGCUCUGUCCAUGUUCACGCCCGCCUCCAGGGCUCUAAGUUGCGCUCUGUCGCACGGUGGGAGGCCGCCGGUGGCAUUGGCGGACUGCGUAUGUCCGUGAACGUCCCGUACUGCAGACGGUGCGUCCGCAUGGUCACCGAUCUGGGGUGCUGUCUCGGAGCCUGCUGCGGCUCCUCCAGGCGGUGGUGUCCGUGCAUUGCGCGCCGAGCUUGUGCCUGUAGGCAGCACAUCUGCUGGUGGAUAGCGGUCGCGGGGCAGGGGUUCGUUCCCACAGGGUCCCUAAAUUGGGCAAAAUUUACCUGGUUGUGGGAGCAGGGGCGCUAAGGCUGGUGCGCACGCCACAUCGAGCCAAGCGGCCAACACAUGGAUUUUAAAGCUUGCCCAUGCAAUUCUAUGUAAUUAAUGCACCAAAUCCUUUCCUGACUUGAUUGGAAUAAGCCUUAGGCUAUGCACAUUUUGAAAUGGUUGUUGCAGUGCGUCGGAUUGCCAGAGGUAUAGCACCAUGCCUCCUUUUAGCAGCCAAUCUGUACCUGGAGUACCAAAUAAAGAACAAAAGAUUUGUGAAGAUCUGGGAGUUUAGGAGCACAGAUAAAAAAAUUCUAUACUCGCUUCAUUUCAUCGCUGUUGACCAGCAGAAAAGCACGAUGGAAGGUUUAAUUCCUGGUAAAUAGAUCAGUUUAGGGAUCUACAGAAAGAGGGGUCUGUUUGUUCUGUUUAGUGGUUCGAUUUAUAUACGAUCCUAAGAAGAGCUACAGAUCAGCGGAUCAUCCUCUGAGGAUUUGCUUUAUUUGGACGACUAUUCUUACAGAGAUAGUGCCAUGGCCGGCGGAUUUUCCUUCCUUUGGGUGUACUUAUCCUCCAUUUAGCAUGUUGUUGGAUCUCAUCGACAUGAACUUAGUGUUAUCUGAUGUUGUUGUAUUGGAGAACAAAGUCACUGAUAUUUUGCCUCCUUCUGGCAACGGCAAGAACCGGGAGCGACAUGUGUAUAUCACAGAUGACAGCGAUCAUGCUAUUGUUACCUUAUGGGGAGAACAAGCUGAUUCAUUUGAUGCUGAUGGAUUGAUGGAGGCAUCAAAUGAGGAGUAUGUUAUUGUCUUAUUUGUUUGCAUGACAUCCAGUCAAAGUAAUAUAUUUUCUCCAUUUAAACCCAUUUUUUUUAUUGUUUUGGUUUUUUUUUCAAGCAUAGAUCCGAGAUUUCCAAAUAUAUCAACCUUGAACUUUCUAUUUUGCGCUAACCGUAUUGGCUAAUGUUUUGUAAAUUUGUUGGCUUUUAAGACUUCAUUUGUUACAAGAUGGUAUGUAAUAUGUUAAUCCACCUAUUCCAGAAGUUGUCGCGGUUCGAGAAAGGGCGAAGCAUUUGCCGUGGCGUGUUGAGUUACACGAUGGUAACCUGGGUCAUGUUGAGCCGAUUGUAUUGAUAAUUGCAGAGACAUCAAACAUUUCAGCCAAAUGAAAUCAUGGGUGAGCGUUACAAGAUAGCCAUUAGAAUUACCGAGGUUCUCACGGACAAGGGUUGGUAUUAUAUAAGCUGGAAAGAAUGUUGAAGAAACUUACAUUAGAGGAUGGAGUUCACAAGUGCUCUUGGUGCCCAACUGUUAUACCUCUGCCAAGGUUCGUUGUUCGACCAGUUGAUGCUUCUUCAAGAGAUCCACAUAACGCAGAAUUUGCACAACUUUUUUGUUUCGACCUCGCCUGGAGGUUGUCGUCAGACAAGAAGCGUUGCAACUUGCGACAAGCGUGAUAGGAUAGUCUAUUGCAGUACCAUAGGAUUUUCUUGCUAUCGUGGGAAGGGAAGUGAGUGACACUGUGACUCCAAGGAGGGAGCCCCUAGGCGCAUUGCACAAUCAUCUCCAGGUGCAAGCUGCUGAGUUGAUUGUCCUUUCCAAUGUUUCCCGGCGACAGGGCAUAGAUGACUCACUGGUGGGUCCGAACAAUAAGAGCCUCUCUGUUCCUGAAACUUCAAAGAAGGUUGAAGGUCCUAACAAGACUUCAACUCCGCCACCGCCUAUGGAUCACACUUCACAAAGUGAAUCAUCGUCAGCCCCUGCUAUUGAUGAGUUAUGAUUGCGUUAUUUUGGUAGAUCAUUAACGUCUUUGUGGUUUCUUGGGUUUUUGACAAGAGAUGUGUUUCUGUUGUAGGUUGCUUCUGAUACCGCCAAUAGAACAAAGCGCAAGACUGCUACUACAGUCAAGAUCCCCAAGCCCAAGAAGGGACUGCACUUCAACCAUGAUGACUAGGUUCUUGCAUGCAUGUUCCUCUGUGUGAAGCGUACAGGUCGCCUAAGUUGUGAAGAGUGUUCUAUUGUCUGGGCAUGUUGUUUUAACCGCAGUUUCUGUUAUCUACGGACUGUCCUUUAUCUGGUACACGCAGCGAAGAGACUUCACUGUAGGCCCAGUUUGUGUUGUUCAAGGCCCAUGUGUUUAGGCCUGGGAAUCUCUUUUAUUUUUGUAUAUCUAGGCCCUGUUAAUUUUCUGGAUUGUGUAUUUAUGUUUUAUCUGUUGCCUAAACUCAGGCUUUAUCCAGGGUCAGUUAAUUA